UACACUGUUUCUAUACACACUCCCUUAACUAGGUACACUGUUGCUAUACACACACCCUGUAUCUAUAUAUGGUUCAUGGUCGCUCUAAUUUAGACUAAACCCUGUAACUAGGUACACUGUUUCUAUACACACACCCUGUAACUAGGUACACUGUUUCUAUACACACACCCUGUAACUAUAUAUGGUUCAUGGUCGCUCUAAUUUAGACUAAACCCUGUAACUAGGUACAUUGUCCCUCUUCAGCCUGAACAGAAGGAAUUCCACAAAUGAGACAUAUCUGUUCACAUAACUGCACCCUGAAAAAUAAUUUGAGUUAAAAAGGAAAAGAAAGAAAAAGGAAGUCUAGUCGUCUAAUGAAGCUUAUAAAUCUUUUACAUUACAAAUUGCAGUCUGAUGAAGGUUUGUUAAAAACGUAUAAAAAAAAAAAAAAAUCUCUCAAA